UACGGAGGGAGCUAGCGUUGUUCGGAAUUAUUGGGCGUAAAGAGCUCGUAGGCGGUUCGGUAAGUCGGGUGUGAAACCUCCAGCUCAACCUGGAGACGCCACCCGAUACUGCUGUGACUAGAGUCCGGUAGGGGAGACUGGAAUUCCUGGUGUAGCGGUGAAAUGCGCAGAUAUCAGGAGGAACACCGGUGGCGAAGGCGGCUUGCUGGGCCUUACCUGACGCUGAGGAGCGAAAGCGUGGGGAGCGAACAGG
rnacentral:rRNA from 1 species